AUUGAACGCUGGCGGCAGGCUUAACACAUGCAAGUCGAGCGGAGAUGAGGUGCUUGCACCUUAUCUUAGCGGCGGACGGGUGAGUAAUGCUUAGGAAUCUGCCUAUUAGUGGGGGACAACAUUCCGAAAGGAAUGCUAAUACCGCAUACGUCCUACGGGAGAAAGCAGGGGAUCUUCGGACCUUGCGCUAAUAGAUGAGCCUAAGUCGGAUUAGCUAGUUGGUGGGGUAAAGGCCUACCAAGGCGACGAUCUGUAGCGGGUCUGAGAGGAUGAUCCGCCACACUGGGGCUGAGACACGGCCCAGACUCCUACGGGAGGCAGCAGUGGGGAAUAUUGGACAAUGGGCGGAAGCCUGAUCCAGCCAUGCCGCGUGUGUGAAGAAGGCCUUUUGGUUGUAAAGCACUUUAAGCGAGGAGGAGGCUACCUAGAUUAAUACUCUGGGAUGGUGGGCGUUACUCGCAGAAUAAGCACCGGCUAACUCUGUGCCAGCAGCCGCAGUAACAC
rnacentral:rRNA from 1 species